CUGAUGGAGCCACAGCAUCCCUUAGUCUCAGGUUCCCAGGAGGGGGAAGGGACAGGAACAAGGGAAGAGGAGCCAUUUCUCUGCACGGAUCGCAACCUUGGCGCUCACAGCUCACAUUUCACAGAACCUAGAGGCCUUUUUGGCCUAGGACUGCACAAUGCUGGAUAUUUUCAUCCUGAUGUUCUUUGCCAUCAUAGGCUUGGUCAUUCUGUCCUACAUUAUCUAUCUGCUCUAGUGGCCGGAUUUGCUGCCGGGAGCCUGCUGGAGAACAGCUCAGAGGGGAAGAAUGGAGCUGAAGGGCCGAGCAUCCUGCUUGCUGACGCACCGGUGGAUUUUUGCUUCUGCUCCUGUCUCCAGUCCAACAAGAGGCCUCUUAUCAACAACAGCAGCCCUGCUGCCCAGCAGACUUCUUCCAGAGCCUUCCGGACAUGGUUAACCCCUGGCAAAAAAGGGGCUUUGUGAGGCAAAGGCAGAGGCAGAGGCACUCACUGGGACAUCAGGAAUUCAUGGGCAUGGCUGGCAGAUGCUGUAUGCGUUUGAGCUGUAGAGAGAGCGUGGUGAGAAUACAGAAAGUUGAAAUGUAGACUCAUUAAAGUGGAAAACUGCUCAAAAAUCCAUCUGGGUAGCCUUUCCUUAGGUCUAAAUGCUACUGUACAUGAAGCUGAAAUACCUUCUUUCCUUUCACCACAAACAGGCGUUCCCUUUUAAGUUCAAGAGCAAGUUCAAGUUGCCUGUCUUAUCAGUGUUUUUACAGAUUUCACAAUCUGGGGUUGUGUGGUUUCCCUUGUCUCACUCUCUGGCCAGAAGAAAUUUGUCAUUUGAGUUUUUAAGAUUUAUUAUUUCUUCCCUAUCUCAUGCCAUCUGAGCCCCUAGUUUUUUAAUUAAAAAUUGAAAUGGAUAGAAAGUUUUUAUUCUUUAUUCCUGAUUAUAAAUUAUUGAAACAAAAUGGCUGUACUUACCUUAUUUAGGAAAGUCUCUUACCCAAAAGUGAGUGGUUUUGUUUUUGAUUGUUGAAUGUUCCUUUUUUGGGGGAAAAAAAAAAAGGAAACUGUCAACAUAUUUCCCUGUUCAAUUAGGAUUGAGUAAGCUCAUUUACUCAUUUUGGCAUUAAGAUAGAAUUGGUUCCCCAAUCUGUAGUGUCUAUUCUUUGAAAAGUCCAACAUAAUUGUUCUACAUUUGAUUUUCCUUUCUAUCUUAAAAAUAAAGGAGAAAUAUUAAUAGUUUUUGUAAUAAUAUUGUGUUCAAUUGCUAUGUUUUUAAAAGAAAUAAAAUUGAAACACUGUAUGUUACAAUUAAAA